GAUAAACGCUGGCGGCGUGCCUAACACAUGCAAGUCGAACGCCCUUUUGCGCAAGUGAGAGGGAGUGGCGGACGGGUGAGUACCACGUGGGUACCUACCUUGAGGUGAGGAAUACCACCGAGAAAUCGGUGACAAGACCGCAUACGCUCGGGCAACCGAGCAAAGUCAUGCAAAUGACGCCACAAGAUGAGCCUGCGCCUGAUUAGCUGGUUGGUGAGGAACAGCUCACCAAGGCGACGAUCAGUAGCUGGUCUGAGAGGAUGAUCAGCCACACUGGGAUUGAGAAC
rnacentral:rRNA from 1 species